rnacentral:snRNA from 1 species
AUAUUUACCAGGCAGGGGAGAUACCAUGACCACGAAGGUGGUUUUCCCAGGGUGAGGCUUAUCCACUGCACUCUGGAUGUGCUGACCCCUGUGACUCCCCCCUUUCUCUCUCUCCUCCUUUCUCAUUAAUAAGAGAAAUCUUUA